AUAAAUCUGCCACCGGGUAGAGAAUGCAUAAUGAAGCAUUCGCGCGUUUCGUUAGGUCUUUGAAGAAACGCACGGGUGCUUUUUUGUUUG
rnacentral:ncRNA from 1 species